GGGAUGAUUCGUGAGGGGAGUCGGGGCCGCGGGCGCGCUUUAUAGCCGCGUGGGAUGGCAUUGGAGUGAGCCAGCGAGGCCGCAGCCAAUCAACUCUGCUCCAUCUCUGGGUAUCAAGGGAUGCUUCGUGCUGCAUCUGCUCCCGCCCACAUUUCUGGAUGUGUCCAGACGACUGUCGCGUCUAUUUUUUUAAGAAUUUGUUUGGUACACUCACAACAGUUUUAUAGGUAAAGUUGUUUUUCUUCGCUUUUCAUAAAGACAUGAGUUGAGAUGAAGCUGAAAAAAGUAGUUUAUUGUA